rnacentral:sRNA from 1 species
AUUUAGCCCUGGGUGAAGCGGUACCCUGCAGCAAGGAAGGUACUGACGAAGCGAAGCGUAUUAGCGAAACACAGGAAGCAGU